rnacentral:rRNA from 1 species
GACGAACGCUGGCGGCGUGCUUAACACAUGCAAGUCGAACGGAAAGGCCCUGCUUUUGUGGGGUGCUCGAGUGGCGAACGGGUGAGUAACACGUGAGUAACCUGCCCUUGACUUUGGGAUAACUUCAGGAAACUGGGGCUAAUACCGGAUAUGAGCUCCUGCUGCAUGGUGGGGGUUGGAAAGAUUCGGCGGUGGGGGAUGGACUCGCGGCUUAUCAGCUUGUUGGUGGGGUAGUGGCUUACCAAGGCUAUGACGGGUAGCCGGCCUGAGAGGGUGACCGGCCACAUUAGGACUGAGAUACGGCCCAGACUCCUACGGGAGGCAGCAGUGGGGAAUAUGGCAGAAUGGGGGGAAGCGUGAUGCAGCGACGCCGCGUGCGGGAUGACGGCCUUCGGGUUGUAAACCGAUUUCGCAUGUGACGAAGCGUGAGUGACGGUAAUGGGUAAAGAAGCACCGGCUAACUACGUG